rnacentral:rRNA from 1 species
UACGGGGGGAGCAAGCGUUGUUCGGAUUUACUGGGCGUAAAGGGCGCGUAGGCGGCCACCGCAAGUCGGUUGUGAAAUCUCCGGGCUUAACCCGGAAAGGUCAACUGAUACUGUGCGACUAGAGUGCGGAAGGGGCAACUGGAAUUCUCGGUGUAGCGGUGAAAUGCGUAGAUAUCGAGAGGAACACCUGCGGCGAAGGCGGGUUGCUGGGCCGACACUGACGCUGAUGCGCGAAAGCCAGGGGAGCGAACGGG